GUCGUUUUCUUUACAAAGUUCUCACUUCCAGAGCAUGAGAGUUGAAAUACUGUGGUAUCAGCUCAAGUGGUGUUUCACAGUCUUUACGGUUAUGCAGGCUGGUGUUUCUCUCCUCUGAUUUCUUUAAUAUGGGAAAUGUUAGCUGUGAAGUCCUAAUCAACUAAUUGCUUUGGUCUUGCUAAUUGCACUCAGCCUGAUCUACAAAAGGAAGAGUCAUUGGACUGUUUUCAGUGUUUCCUCUGGACAGAGACUCCUUGGAAGUUUUCCCACCACAGAUUUGUUCUUAGUUUUUAUGCUGCUUGCAAGAGUGAUGACAUCUGCAUUCUGUGAAGCCACUUUCCUAGGAGGAAAAAAAAAAUAGUCUUCACUAAUCCCAGUUUGUGCAAUAUACCUUGUGUAUUUGUAUGUACCCUGGAAUGAUCAGUGUGAGAAUGACAAUUUUAAAUUAUGAAUGGCCAACUCAGGAAUCCUUUGCUUGAAGACGAAUAUGCUACCAAGGCUAAUGUACCAGCCAAGAAAAAGCUGGUGGGGAAUAUUGAUCAGGCAUUGACCUCCUUGAGAAGAAUUUUAAUGAUGGUUUUGGAUCUAGAGACUACUAAAUAAGGAGCGGGGGGGAAGCUGAAGAAUGACCGGAGGACAAAGCCUGGGAGGAAGACUACGAGCCUUCAGUACAAGCGACCCCCGGAGGGACCACCGGAGACUGAUACGCAUGCAUCCGCGGGAUGGUUCAGGUCCCAGGAAACUAAUUAUAAUAACCUUGCCUUUUCCAAAAGUGGUGAUGAAUAUGUAUUAGCCUAGGAGCAUAAAAACCAGCCACCUGAUGUAACUGGUGUGCGUCUUGGUGGAGCAGAGACUCCUGGCGCACCCAGAGCUGUUUGCUUACCUCUAUUCCUUUAAUCAAUUGUAAACUUUGAUUGUAACCCUAUUUGGGACUCAGUCAUUUAUAACACCAGCAUCAGUCCAGCAAUCCUGGAUUGGCAGGAGAUAAGACUAAUCCUUUAAAAUAUAUUUUUCUACUAUAGAACUGGCUUCUUUAAGUACUCCAUUGGAUUUCUGUAGUACAACUUGCACAAUAUAGCAAUUUUCAUCUUCAAGUAUGUCUUGCAAUCCAAUUUCAUCUGCUGGACCAGAUCUGAAUCUUAAAUGAUAUAAGAGGCUUUUGAGGACUAAAUUGGGAAUAAACUAUGAUUAUUUAGUUUAUUCUCUGGUUAGAUUGAAGUGGUUCCUUUUUAUUUUUGUCAAUAGCUGUGUGAAUUGCAGAGUUAGAAUAAGGGUAUCGGAUAGUACCAGAAUUGCAUUUGCUUUAACUUUCUUAAUGUAUUCUGUGCUUGACCUGCAUAGCAAUAACUGGCCAUGUGCCAAGAAAUGGAUAUAUUGCCCUUAGCAGUGCAAUUUUGUAAGAAUAUUUUCUUAAAUUGAUUAGUAUGUAUCAGAUACGUUAAUUUCACCAAAUGGCAUGUCUUUUAUCUAGAGGUGAAGACUGGGACUGAUACUUAAAAUAGAGUGAGCUGCUCUCUAGAGUAGAGGAAGUGAAUAGAAAUUAUAUAUCAGUGGAAUUAUAUUGGAUAAUGAACAUUUGCUCACUGCUGGGGUAACAAGUAAUGAAAAAUGCCAGUGUCCUGCAGUGAGAUUCCUAGAGCUCUGAAUUUAACUCCUGAAAAUGAAUAGUGCAAAGUGAUUGUACAACUAUGUCUAUAGUGACUUCGCUCUGUGGAGCAAAAUGUAACAAAAAAUAUCUUGAAAUUGAACCCUGGCUAAUAAAGAUCAGAUAUUAAAUGCAA